UACGUAGGUGGCGAACGUUAUCCGGAGUGACUGGGUGUAAAGGGUCCGUAGGCGGGAGGGCAAGUCUGACGUGAAAGCGCCCGGCUCAACUGGGCGAGUGCGUUGGAAACUGCCUUUCUUGACUCACGCAGAGGUCGGCGGAAUUCCCGGUGUAGUGGUGGAAUGCGUAGAGAUCGGGAGGAACCUCGAAAGCGAAGGCAGCCGACUGGGGGAUGAGUGACGCUGAGGGACGAAAGCGUGGGGAGCGAACAGG
rnacentral:rRNA from 1 species